rnacentral:rRNA from 1 species
UACAGAGGUCCCAAGCGUUGUUCGGAUUCACUGGGCGUAAAGGGCGCGUAGGCGGCCAGCGCAAGUCAGUUGUGAAAUCUCCGGGCUUAACUCGGAAAGGUCAACUGAUACUGCGCGGCUAGAGUGCAGAAGGGGCAACUGGAAUUCUCGGUGUAGCGGUGAAAUGCGUAGAUAUCGAGAGGAACACCUGCGGCGAAGGCGGGUUGCUGGGCUGACACUGACGCUGAUGCGCGAAAGCUAGGGGAGCAAACGGG